rnacentral:lncRNA from 1 species
UCUGCUCCAACUGAGCUUCCCUAGAACUUCUGCUGGUUCCUGACACAGCUGGUGUUCAAGUGGCAGCUCUGCAUGGGAAUUUCCACUCUCCAUGAGGCACUGUCAGGUUAUUCCAGCAGGAAUUUGGCAGGGAAUUUGGGGCUGUGGUUAUAAUUCAUCUGAACUAGCAAAGCUGAUACUGAACCCUAAAUCUGGGCACCACACAGAGAACCAUCUUUGUGCUAAAGCCCCUGGGCUGGGAUAUUUCAGCAGCCAAAUGUACGGAAUGAUCUAAAUCCCAGCAGCCAGCAUCCCCCAGAGGGACAAUCCAAGUGCCAGGGUGGGAGCUCGUGUCCUUCCCCUGCUGCUGGUGGGACAAAUUCCCCUGGGCACAGCUGGCUGGGCGGGAGCUGAGAGCAGGAGGGGCGGGAGCAGGAUGGGAGAUGAGGCCGCUGGAAUGUCACCUGGAGCAGCUGAACACGUUCUGUCCCUGCAGGAGCCAGGAGCCAAAGCAGAUCCCUCGUGGCCGGGCUGGAGGGCAGCCGCUGGAUCUGCUCUGGGGAAAACUCCCUGCCCCUGCCAGGAGCACUGGCUCUGCUCUUCCUCCAGCUCCUGAGCAGUGUCAGGGCCACCGGGAGGGCGUUCAAACCCAAAAAAUCCCCACAGCCCACAGAGUGAAUGAUCUCAGGAGGAAUCGCAGCGUUGUAAUGAAAAACUUGGAGCUCUGUGGAAAGGGCUCUGACAACACGUGCCCUGGUGACACCAGCGAGGUCCCUUUGCCUUUCUCCUGCCCCUUUCCAGCCCGAGGCCGCUCCUCUGCCCCUGUCCCACACAGGGGGCAGAAUAGGGGAAAGGCUCCAGAAAACAUUUCUGCAAUUCAUCAGCAAUUAUUUCCAAUUCCCCAGUGAGAGGAACAGGAACUCACAGCCACCGAGGCCUGACGGGUUCCUGCAGUGAGAGCUCGGCGCGUGUCCGCAGAGGUGAGUGCAGCAUCUGAAAGGAAAAAAACACAGGAGAGAAAUGUGACUUAUUUUGCUUCAAAGUUAUUUCAAGUUCUUAAAGCCCAACCAACUUUUACUCUUGAUUUUGGUCGGGUGAAACACGAGCAGUGGGCAGAGCUCAUGCCAUUGAUGUGGACGUGCCUGAUGCUUUCUGAGGCAGAAAAAGUAGAUUAAGCUCACCUUAUGUCAAGUAGUUAUUAAAAAAGAUUUAUAGCUCUUUAAACAUAACACCUUUUAAUUACCAUAAUGUUUCUCCCAUGAUUUUAACUCCUUUUCAGUGUAUUUUAUAAAACUUAAAAUAACACCUCCUCCCUAACAGACUCAUAAACCAUUAGACAAAAAGUCCUAGUGCCAGUCUCAUGCUUCCACAUCUAACAGGAGACCCUCCCCAUAACCAAACAAAAAAUCAAAAUAAUGUGCCAAAAGUAGUCCUUACUAACAUUAAAAAUACAACUCAACUGUAUCCAAAAAAACCCCAACUUUAUUUCCUCCGAACACCCAAUACUCUUCAAAUUCUAAAUCGAAAACUCUUAAAAAAAACAACAAAAGCCAUCAAAAUAUACUUCAAAUACCGAAAAGCUUAAACAUAUAAAUAUUUAUUUGUCAAAGCCCACAAAAAAUAUAAAACAAUCUAAUCAAUAUCCUACCCACUAUACAAAUUAUUACCAUUUGAAAUGUAACAUAAAUAAAAAUAUUUUACUAAGAAACA